rnacentral:rRNA from 1 species
GGUUAAGCGACUAAGCGUACACGGUGGAUGCCCUGGCAGUCAGAGGCGAUGAAGGACGUGCUAAUCUGCGAAAAGCGCCGGCGAGGUGAUAUGAACCUUUGACCCGGCGAUGUCCGAAUGGGGAAACCCAGUGUGUUCCGACACACUAUCGUUAACUGAAUACAUAGGUUAACGAGGCGAACCGGGGGAACUGAAACAUCUAAGUACCCCGAGGAAAAGAAAUCAACCGAGAUUCCCCCAGUAGCGGCGAGCGAACGGGGAGCAGCCCAGAGUCUGAAUCAGCUUGUGUGUUAGUGGAAGCGUCUGGAAAGUCGCACGGUACAGGGUGACAGUCCCGUACACGAAAAUGCACAGGUUGUGAACUCGAAGAGUAGGGCGGGACACGUGGUAUCCUGUCUGAAUAUGGGGGGACCAUCCUCCAAGGCUAAAUACUCCUGACUGACCGAUAGUGAACCAGUACCGUGAGGGAAAGGCGAAAAGAACCCCGGCGAGGGGAGUGAAAAAGAACCUGAAACCGUGUACGUACAAGCAGUGGGAGCACCUUCGGGUGUGACUGCGUACCUUUUGUAUAAUGGGUCAGCGACUUAUAUUCUGUAGCAAGGUUAACCGUAUAGGGGAGCCGAAGGGAAACCGAGUCUUAACUGGGCGUUAAGUUGCAGGGUAUAGACCCGAAACCCGGUGAUCUAGCCAUGGGCAGGUUGAAGGUUGGGUAACACUAACUGGAGGACCGAACCGACUAAUGUUGAAAAAUUAGCGGAUGACUUGUGGCUGGGGGUGAAAGGCCAAUCAAACCGGGAGAUAGCUGGUUCUCCCCGAAAGCUAUUUAGGUAGCGCCUCGUGAACUCAUCUUCGGGGGUAGAGCACUGUUUCGGCUAGGGGGCCAUCCCGGCUUACCAACCCGAUGCAAACUACGAAUACCGAAGAAUGUUAUCACGGGAGACACACGGCGGGUGCUAACGUCCGUCGUGAAGAGGGAAACAACCCAGACCGCCAGCUAAGGUCCCAAAGUCAUGGUUAAGUGGGAAACGAUGUGGGAAGGCACAGACAGCCAGGAUGUUGGCUUAGAAGCAGCCAUCAUUUAAAGAAAGCGUAAUAGCUCACUGGUCGAGUCGGCCUGCGCGGAAGAUGUAACGGGGCUAAACCAUGCACCGAAGCUGCGGCAGCGACACUAUGUGUUGUUGGGUAGGGGAGCGUUCUGUAAGCCGUUGAAGGUGUGCUGUGAGGCAUGCUGGAGGUAUCAGAAGUGCGAAUGCUGACAUAAGUAACGAUAAAGCGGGUGAAAAGCCCGCUCGCCGGAAGACCAAGGGUUCCUGUCCAACGUUAAUCGGGGCAGGGUGAGUCGACCCCUAAGGCGAGGCCGAAAGGCGUAGUCGAUGGGAAACAGGUUAAUAUUCCUGUACUUGGUGUUACUGCGAAGGGGGGACGGAGAAGGCUAUGUUAGCCGGGCGACGGUUGUCCCGGUUUAAGCAUGUAGGCGGAACGAUUAGGUAAAUCCGGUCGUUUUUAACGCUGAGGUGUGAUGACGAGGCACUACGGUGCUGAAGUAACAAAUGCCCUGCUUCCAGGAAAAGCCUCUAAGCAUCAGGUAACAUCAAAUCGUACCCCAAACCGACACAGGUGGUCAGGUAGAGAAUACCAAGGCGCUUGAGAGAACUCGGGUGAAGGAACUAGGCAAAAUGGUGCCGUAACUUCGGGAGAAGGCACGCUGAUAUGUAGGUGAAGCCCCUGCGGGUGGAGCUGAAAUCAGUCGAAGAUACCAGCUGGCUGCAACUGUUUAUUAAAAACACAGCACUGUGCAAACACGAAAGUGGACGUAUACGGUGUGACGCCUGCCCGGUGCCGGAAGGUUAAUUGAUGGGGUUAGCGGCAACGCGAAGCUCUUGAUCGAAGCCCCGGUAAACGGCGGCCGUAACUAUAACGGUCCUAAGGUAGCGAAAUUCCUUGUCGGGUAAGUUCCGACCUGCACGAAUGGCGUAAUGAUGGCCAGGCUGUCUCCACCCGAGACUCAGUGAAAUUGAACUCGCUGUGAAGAUGCAGUGUACCCGCGGCAAGACGGAAAGACCCCGUGAACCUUUACUAUAGCUUGACACUGAACACUGGUCCUUGAUGUGUAGGAUAGGUGGGAGGCUUUGAAGUGUGGACGCCAGUCUGCAUGGAGCCGUCCUUGAAAUACCACCCUUUAAUGGCUGGUGUUCUAACGUAGACCCGUAAUCCGGGUUGCGGACAGUGUCUGGUGGGUAGUUUGACUGGGGCGGUCUCCUCCCAAAGAGUAACGGAGGAGCACGAAGGUUAGCUAAUCCUGGUCGGACAUCAGGAGGUUAGUGCAAUGGCAUAAGCUAGCUUGACUGCGAGAGUGACGGCUCGAGCAGGUGCGAAAGCAGGUCAUAGUGAUCCGGUGGUUCUGAAUGGAAGGGCCAUCGCUCAACGGAUAAAAGGUACUCCGGGGAUAACAGGCUGAUACCGCCCAAGAGUUCAUAUCGACGGCGGUGUUUGGCACCUCGAUGUCGGCUCAUCACAUCCUGGGGCUGAAGUAGGUCCCAAGGGUAUGGCUGUUCGCCAUUUAAAGUGGUACGCGAGCUGGGUUUAGAACGUCGUGAGACAGUUCGGUCCCUAUCUGCCGUGGGCGCUGGAGAAUUGAGGGGGGCUGCUCCUAGUACGAGAGGACCGGAGUGGACGCAUCACUGGUGUUCGGGUUGUCAUGCCAAUGGCACUGCCCGGUAGCUAAAUGCGGAAAAGAUAAGUGCUGAAAGCAUCUAAGCACGAAACUUGCCCCGAGAUGAGUUCUCCCUGAGACUUUAAGUCUCCUGAAGGAACGUUGAAGACGACGACGUUGAUAGGUCGGGUGUGUAAGCGCAGCGAUGCGUUGAGCUAACCGAUACUAAUGAACCGUGAGGCUUAACCUU